UGUUUGAGCGGGAGGAAUGGAAGUUAGGGCAUCAUAAACACUCCGGCGACGAUCCAAAUUCUCCGGGCUUCCUCUUCCACAUAUCUCAUUACUCAACCCUAGCUUUUUGAUUUUUGCGAAUCCUCCUCCUCAAUCUUUACCUUUUUCAGAGUUCCCCAAAUCCCAGAACACUUCGAAGGCGAUUGCCGCGAGAGUCGCGGCGGCGAGACAGAUCCAUGCCAACUGCGAACUCCUUCCUUCCAUCGCUGUGGAUUCAGUUAAAUAUAGUGAAAGAUCUAGCAGAGGCGCUGAAGCCCAUACAAGUGCAAAUGGGAUUCAAAUUUCAAGAACCCAAGAAUCCAUUCACUACUUGGACGCUUAAUUUAUAACAAUCAAUCAAACUUUGCAGCAGUUUCAACCACACGUUAAGAACUCUGGUAAACGAUUGGAGGAUUUAUCAUGCAGCAAGUGUCCAUGUACUUCAACUCAAGAAAAUAAGGGUGAUGAAUGCAAUUUUAGCCUGAAUUUUCGUCAAUCUACUGUACAGAAGAAAUCCGCAACAUAAGCAAUGUCAUUUAUUAAAUCAAUGAAAAUUGAGCUGCCAAGAUUCAACGGAAAUGGCGUCAAUAACUUGAUAUUCAAGGCAGAGGAUUAUUUUGAAUUCCACAACUCCCCUGAAUUAUGCCUACUUUUACAAUUAUGUGCAUAUAUUUCCUGUUGCACACGAUUCAGUUAUUCAGCUCACAACUGUAAUAACUGCAGGAAUUACAAUAUAUGCAAUUAUGCCCACUACUACAGUUAAGUUCUGGAAGGAUGCUGAUGGACCAAGGGGGAAGAUCAUAACGCAUUCCAUUAAAGGUGGUAAACAUGAGUGGUCGGCGGUGGUGACGCCAAAUGACGUGCGGUGGUUGACGGCUAUAAAAUUUGGAAGGUAUCACUAGGUCAUCAAUAUAAUGCAACACAUUAUGACCGUAUUUGAGAUACAUUGUUAGCAACAAGCGGUCUCUGACAACAAAGAUCAGGGAUGACUGAGUGUGGUUGACAACGGCUGAUGGGCGGUGUUCAAUUGUAGUUUACGGUCAUAGAGGCUAGAAGAUCUUAUUAAGUCUUCAGCCCAUAACAGACCUUAGAAUUCCUUAUCUUCUCUCCUUUUUAAUUGAAUAGAGUGUUUAUAGCCUCUAGGAUAUCAGCAUUUUGGUCUUUUGGUGAAUAACAUUUCCAGUCAUCUAAUCAAAUGAUCCAUAUUG